GGUGCUCUGCCAUAGCAUAGUGGAAGAGCACCCGCUCUGCAUGCAGAACGUCCCGGGUUCAACUCCCAGUGGCAUCU